CCCCAGGCCAAGGUUGGUGACGUAUGUCAAGACGUUAGCGCGUGCGGCCAGGAAGAAUGUUGUGUCAAGUACGGACCAGACGCGGGGACGUGCCAAAAGAACCUGUCGGAAGACGCACCCUGCCA